rnacentral:rRNA from 1 species
AGCUAAUACCGCAUAACGUCGCAAGACCAAAGAGGGGGACCUUCGGGCCUCUUGCCAUCGGAUGUGCCCAGAUGGGAUUAGCUAGUAGGUGGGGUAACGGCUCACCUAGGCGACGAUCCCUAGCUGGUCUGAGAGGAUGACCAGCCACACUGGAACUGAGACACGGUCCAGACUCCUACGGGAGGCAGCAGUGGGGAAUAUUGCACAAUGGGCGCAAGCCUGAUGCAGCCAUGCCGCGUGUAUGAAGAAGGCCUUCGGGUUGUAAAGUACUUUCAGCGGGGAGGAAGGGAGUAAAGUUAAUACCUUUGCUCAUUGACGUUACCCGCAGAAGAAGCACCGGCUAACUCCGUGCCAGCAGCCGCGGUAAUACGGAGGGUGCAAGCGUUAAUCGGA